rnacentral:rRNA from 1 species
GGACAAUGGAGGCAAGUAUGAUCCAGCCAUGCCGCGUGCAGGAUGACUGCCCUAUGGGUUGUAAACUGCUAUUAUACAGGAAGAAAAGUACCUACGUGUAGGUGUUUGACGGUACUGUAAGAAUAAGGAUCGGCUAACUCCGUGCCAGCAGCCGCGGUAAUACGGAGGAUCCAAGCGUUAUCCGGAAUCAUUGGGUUUAAAGGGUCCGCAGGCGGUCUUUUAAGUCAGAGGUGAAAUCCUACAGCUCAACUGUAGAAUUGCCUUUGAUACUGAAGGACUUGAGUUAUUGUGAAGUAGUUAGAAUGUGUGGUGUAGCGGUGAAAUGCAUAGAUAUCACACAGAAUACCGAUUGCGAAGGCAGAUUACUAACAAUAUACUGACGCUGAGGGACGAAAGCGUGGGUAGCGAACAGGAUUAGAUACCUUGGUAGUCCACGCCGUAAACGAUGGAUACUAGCUGUUCGACUAACAUUGCUAUUUGAGUGGUAAGCGAACGAAAUAAAAUGCC